AUGGUCAAGUACAAAGAGCAUCGGGUGGAUGCCUUGGCACUGGGAGCCGACGAAGGACGUGAUAAGCUGCGAUAAGCUGCGGUAAGGAGCACAUAUCCGAUAUACCCGCAGAUUUCCGAAUGGGGGAACCCACAUACGGUAAUGCGUAUGUAUCAUUAAGUGAAUACAUAGCUUAAUGAGGGGAACGGGGUGAACUGAAACAUCUAAGUAGCCCCAGGAAGAGAAAGAAAAAUCGAUUUUCUGAGUAGCGGCGAGCGAAAGGGAAAGAGGCCAAACCGGAUUGUUUACAAUUCGGGGUUGUGGACCACCGACAUUGACGAGGUUAUGCGAGCCGAAUAGAGCUGGAAAGCUCAAGCGAAGAAGGUAAAACUCCUGUAGGCGAAGCAGAAGACGCAUAGGUGGCACCGGAGUAGGACCGGACACGUGGAACCCGGUCUGAAGCAGGAGGGACCACCCUCCAAGCCUAAAUACUACCCAGUGACCGAUAGCGAAUAGUACCGUGAGGGAAAGGUGAAAAGAACCCCGGGAGGGGAGUGAAAUAGAAUCU
rnacentral:rRNA from 1 species